rnacentral:tRNA from 2 species
GGAAGAGUGUCCGAGUGGUUUAAGGAACCGGUCUUGAAAACCGGCGAGGGUGCAAGCCCUCCGUGGGUUCGAAUCCCACCUCUUCCGCCA